AAUUUUUAUACAUAAGGCACCUCGUUAAUUUAGUUUAGUGGUAUUUAUUAAAUUAUACGAAAGUGUCUUAUUUUUUUAAAGUAUUUCAAAGUAAAAUUACAUGUUAAUACGUAGUAUUAAUGGCGAGACUCCUGAGGGAGCAGUGCCAGUCGAAGACCGAGGCUGAGACGGCACCCUAGGAA
rnacentral:ncRNA from 1 species